rnacentral:ncRNA from 1 species
AAAGCUUUAAUAAUCAUUGGUUCUCAAUUGAUUAAAAAGGAAAACGGUGUAAAACCGUUGCUGUGUUCGCAUCUGUAACCAGCAGAACCUGAUAUCAUUCACUGCCCAUUUGGUGGGAAGGAUGAUAUGGAAAAUAGGGCUGGGAGCCAGAAGACUUGCCAUGAUUAUCUGCUUAGA